GACAGGGGGUGCAAACGUUAUUCGGAAUCACUGGGCUUAAAGGGCGCGUAGGCGGCCUUCUAAGUCAGACGUGAAAUCCCCCGGCUUAACCUGGGAACUGCGUCUGAUACUGGGAGGCUUGAGUAUGGGAGAGGGAUGUAGAAUUCCAGGUGUAGCGGUGAAAUGCGUAGAUAUCUGGAGGAAUACCGGUGGCGAAGGCGGCAUCCUGGACCAUAACUGACGCUGAGGCGCGAAAGCUAGGGGAGCAAACGGG
rnacentral:rRNA from 1 species